AAAAUUCUAGUACCGGUUGGCCUUUUUUACGUAUUUCUGUAAUACCUGAGGAAGUCUUCAGAAUAUCAACUGAUUGACAUUACAGUUUGGUAUGCCGUGCAGGAGAUAACUAUUAUGGCCCCUGCACCACCACAGCUUCAGGUUCCUGUUGAGAAGGAAAAUACAUGAUUGUUCGAUUGUAUUCUGUCUCGAUAUCAAUCAAAACAGUGCAGUUCUCUUUUUCUUGCUAUUGCUAUGUUAAUCAAGUCCUUUGAUUAUGUUACCUGGAUGUAAGAGAUUGCUGAAGCAUAGAAUAGUGUCAGAGAUCACUUUUCUGUUUUGACCGAAUAUUGCUUCCACAAUUCAACCCCAAAUAUUGUGCUUGAAUUUAACUUUGCGACUCAUCAGAUUAGUAGCUUGAAUGUUUUCUAAUUCACACUUGGAACUUUGAAGGUACGUGUCAAUUCAAUUACGUUGGAAUCCCACAAUCAACAUUUACAACAAUUAUUUGUAUAUCACUAUUGUACAAAUGUUGUAAACUUAGGUGUAUCAAUAUUUAAUACGUUUUUGAGUGACAAACUUUGAGAAUGGACAGGAGGAUACAGUCCUGGACGUAAAUAUAAUUGUAAACAUAAUUGUAAACAUAAAGAGUCUGAAGUUAAAAUACAUAUAUCCAAGUUAAGUGUUUUCAACCUAAAAAUCAUGUAUAUUCAUACACAUGGUUUUGUAUAUCAUGCAUAUAUGAGCUCCAUUUUGUUGAAUGAGUGAAACUUGAAUUUCACAAAAUAUGACUUUAAAGAAGUUUUAUGAACAUAAAAAUAGAGAUUUAGAAACAAAUUACAUAUGUUAUAAAAAAAAUGAUUUAUUUUUAAAAAUAUAUUAUCAUUUUUAUUAUUUACAAUUGAAAAAAUGACAUAAUAAGAUAUGCUCUUAUCCACCUCAAAUUCCAAUGUUCUUAUUUAUUUGAGGUUGGAAUUUAAAAGAUGCACCAAAAUAUUAAUUAAUAAGGUAAUUUCUUUUAUUUGCAUCUAUCCAAUAAGUAUUAUCUAACAUGGUUUAAAUCUAGCAAACAUUGUGCAUAAAUCUCACAACAAAUGAUUAUCAAAAUUGGUACAAAAAACAAUCAAAUUAUUAGAGUACAAAUUUUAAAGUGGUAAAAAGCAAUUAGAUUUAUUUUUAGUAGGUUAUAUAUAUAUAUAUAUAUAUAUAAAUCUUUUUUGUUGUAUGUGAGAUAUUAUUUCUUUAAAAUAUUAAAAAAGUGUUACAUAUCAAAAAUAACAUAUAGAAACACAUCAUAUAUGAAAUAUGUAAAUAAUAAGGUGUUCAAAUCACACUACAAAUAACACAAUUGAUUCUUAGAAAAAAUGAAUAAACUAAAUGAGUCUCCAAUUCUUGAACAUACUAUAUAAUAAUAAUAAUAAUAAUAAUAAAAUAAGUAGAAAAAAAGAAGUUAGUUGAAGUUAAUUAAUCAAAAUAAAAAAUAAUCAAUAUUUAUAAAAUUUUAAGAAAUGACAAUAAAUUUAUUCUUUGUCAACAUUUAUACUUCAUUCUUAUUUUUGAAGAUAUUUCUAGAUUUGUUUUAAAAAAGAAUAUUUUUUUACUACUUAUAAAUUUUAUUGAUUGAUUGAUUAUUUUUUUGUUUGUUUUUUUCUUUUUGCUUUAUGUAAAAGCAUUUUUUCUAUUGUAAAUUUUUUAUACAAAUGUUGAGUAAAGUGCAUGCAAAUCUCUAGAGAAUUCAAUAACUUAUUUACAUCAUUAGUAGUUUCUUAAGUCAACGCAAUCCUAUUUAUUUUAUAAACAUGGAAUUGUAAAAUAUUAAUGUCAUUUUUUCUAUAAAAAUAUCUAUACAAUUGUAAGUCUUGAAUCCAAAAAAUUAUUUGUAUUCAUUCAUAAUCAAAAUAAAAGCUUUAUUAUAAAUAUCUAUAUUAGUUUUUAUUGCUAUUAUUUUUUACAUUUCCAUCUUUUAAAAUAUUAUUAAUUAGAUUUUAAAAUUUAGCAAUUAUGGUUAUCAUCUAUAACUUGAUAAUUUUGACUUUUCAAAAGUUGAUAAUCCCACAACAAAAGAUUUGGAACAUAAAUGAAAAAAUAUUAUUUUUUAAUAGAUUGAAUUUAUACCUUUACAAAGAUUGAGGUUUUUACAAGAAAGGAUUCAAAGCAAGGGCAUUGCAACUAAGGUCUUGACAACCUUAAGAAUGUACUUUAAAAAUUUGCUAGAGAGAGGUAUCAACAAUUUCUUCAAUUUUUUGUUAUAAAAGAAGAACUAACAAUGUUUAAUGAACUAAAAUGCCAAUAUAAGUUGACAUAGGUAUAUCUAACAUAUUAAGAUUUUAAUUAGAAAAACUAUAUAUGUUUACAAAGGACUAAGUACAUAAUUCUAGUAAAUUGGUAAAAGUUUGUUUCUACAAUCAAAGUGAUAAUAUUUACAAGUACUUAUGAUUGAAAAUUGUUUGGUCAUUUUUAAAAUUGAUAUUCAAGCAAAGGAGAACAAAUGGCAUCUUAAAUUAUUUUCAUAUUAAACUUCUUUAAUGAUUGAUAGAUUAUCAAACUACUAAACAAAAUUAGAAUCCAUUAAAUAUAAAUUCUAUUCCUUGAGCUUCCAAAUGUACAAGAAUUACAACAAACUUGGUAACUUCAAUGAUUCCAAUGAAUAUCUUAUAUUAGUUUUAGAAAUCUCAAAUAGGUUGGUAUAUCAACAACUUUCUUUUGUCCCUAUUAGAUUAUUCUUAAAUAUUCGAAGUAGGUCAUAAGAUACAUCAAUCAUCAUAAAUUAUCCACACUCUUCUUGACAGAAGCAAGAAUACUACCUUUACUAUUCUACUACAAAUUCCAUUCUGCAAAAACCUUGAGAUGUAUCUUUUUUAUAUAAAUGUAAAUAAACAACAAUUAUGUCUUUAAAUAUAGCUUUUGGACAUUCAUCCCUAUUCAUCAUCUACAUAUACAAUUAUUAUAGAAGUAGAAUUAAGAUCUAGAAAUAAUAGCCGGACAUCCAACUUCUAAUAUGAAAUUAAUUAUAUUUGUUUUUAGAAAUUAAUAGUCAUAGGUAAAAAUUAGAUAUGUGUGAGCCUAAAAUCCACCACUUUAUGGAUUUAGUACUACACAAUGAGCUCAAGAGGUAGAAUGGAAGAACUCCCAAUUGUGAAAUUGUUAGAUUAAUUAAAAUGUGGGUGUUUGUAAUUCAAUUAAAAUUAACGCCAUAUUUAAAUUAAAAUAUCAGAUGAAAUCCACCACAUAAAAAAAUGAUAAAAGUAAGUAAUUAAAAUUUUCUUAUUAAUUCACAAUAAGAAUAAAAACUUAAGUUUAAAUUAAAAGUUAAAAGUUAAUGUUAAAAGUUAAAGUUAAAAGUUAAAGUUAAAAGUUAAAGUUAAACUUAAAUAUUAAAUUCAAAAGUUAAAGUUCAAAGUUUAAAAAUUUAAGUGAGAAUAUUAUAGGUUAAAAGUUAAGAGUUAAAAUUUAUUAGUCAAAAGUUGAAAUGUGGAGGUUACGAGUUACUGUGAAGAUAAAAGUAAAAAUAAAAUAAGAGGGGUAAAAGCGAAGGUACCUUGACAACGCCAAGGAUUGAAGGCAGCAACCCCCUUCUACUCCAAAAUUCGCCAAAAAUUUUAAUUAGCUCCAAAUUGAAUGAUUCGCAAGUUUUUGCAAAGUUAACUUAUAGGCGCUCCUGCUCCAACAAAUCUCAUUGCAAUCUAGUGAUCCAGUCGUGAGAAUUGCUCCUUUGAAGUUGAGUGAUCCAAACUGCUGCGGCGACCAACCCCCUUCACUUGGAAAUUCGCUAAAAAUUCAAAUUGUCUUCAAAUCCAGCGAAGCUUGUGCCCUUCAAAGCUUAGCUUAUAAAUCUUGAUGCUCCCAAAAUUUCAAACGAAUCCAGUUAUCAGGCACUGAGAAAUGCCUUCCCAAACUCGAUUAAUCCAAACUGCAAAGGCAGUCGACCUCUUCACACUCAAAAUUUCACCAAAAAUUCAGUUCAACUCCAAAUGGAGCGAGCCUUACCUUUUUGGAAAGCUAACAACAAAAGCUACAACCACAAAAAAAAUCACAUUGGAACUAAAACAAUUGAAUGACUGAUGGAGGGAAAUCUGAGGCUCUUGAAACCCUUAGAGUAAUUGGGAGGCCAAGGGAGCUAUUCACCACAAUGAAACGUGUUUUAAGACCCAAUGACUAUCAUUCACAACUUGAAAUCCAUGCACACCCACCCACAAAAUUCACAAUGAGAUUUAAAAUCUAAAUAAAAUUAAAAUUAGGGUUUUUGGCCAAAUUUUAGCAUGGCUUUGCCCUUCACCAAAAGAGGAGAGAGAGAGGGCUUGGAAAACCAGGCCUUUCUUAAACAAUUGCCUGGAGGCUCGUAGAAGGGUGACUACAUCUCCACCCUUGAUUUUUCAGAUCCCUAAUCUAAAUCUACGG
rnacentral:lncRNA from 1 species